AUUGAACGCUGGCGGCAUGCCUUACACAUGCAAGUCGAACGGCAGCACGGGUGCUUGCACCUGGUGGCGAGUGGCGAACGGGUGAGUAAUACAUCGGAACGUACCUUAUCGUGGGGGAUAACGCAGCGAAAGCUGUGCUAAUACCGCAUACGCCCUGAGGGGGAAAGCGGGGGAUCGAAAGACCUCGCGCGAUUAGAGCGGCCGAUGCCUGAUUAGCUUGUUGGUGGGGUAAAAGCCCACCAAGGCGACGAUCAGUAGCUGGUCUGAGAGGACGAUCGGCCACACUGGGACUGAGACACGGCCCAGAAUCCUACGGGAGGCAGCAGUGGGGAAUUUUGGACAAUGGGGGCAACCCUGAUCCAGCAAUGCCGCGUGAGUGAAGAAGGCCUUCGGGUUGUAAAGCUCUUUUGUCAGGGAAGAAACACCGGCUCUAACACAGUCCGGGAAUGACGGUACCUGAAGAAUAAGCACCGGCUAACUACGUGCCAGCCGCCGCGGUAA
rnacentral:rRNA from 1 species